CCUGGUAGUGGGGGACAACUCGGGGAAACUCGAGCUAAUACCGCAUACGCCCUACGGGGGAAAGCGGGGGACCUUCGGGCCUCGCGCUAUCAGAUGAGCCUGCGUUGGAUUAGCUAGUUGGUGGGGUAAUGGCCUACCAAGGCGACGAUCCAUAGCUGGUCUGAGAGGAUGAUCAGCCACACCGGGACUGAGACACGGCCCGGACUCCUACGGGAGGCAGCAGUGGGGAAUAUUGCGCAAUGGGCGAAAGCUUGACGCAGCCAUGCCGCGUGUGUGAAGAAGGGCUUCGGGUUGUAAAGCACUUUCAAUUGGGAGGAAAGGUUCACGGCUAAUACCCGUAGCCGUGACGUUACC
rnacentral:rRNA from 1 species